UAAUACGUAGGAUGCAAGCGUUGUCCGGAUUUACUGGGCGUAAAGCGCGCGCAGGCGGCACUCUAAGUACGCUGUGAAAUAUCUCGGCUCAACCGGGAGGGUGCAGUGUAGACUAGGGAGCUUGAGGUCGGUAGAGGGGGGUAGAAUUGCUGGUGUAGCGGUGAAAUGCGUAGAGAUCAGCAGGAAUACCCGUGGCGAAGGCGGCCCCCUGGGCCGUACCUGACGCUGAGGCGCGAAGGCUAGGGGAGCGAACGGGAUUAGAUACCCCGGUAGUCCUAGCAGUAAACGAUGGCCACUAGGUGUGGGGGGUGUUGACCCCUUCCGUGCCGUAGCUAACGCAUUAAGUGGCCCGCCUGGGGAGUACGGUCGCAAGACUA
rnacentral:rRNA from 1 species